rnacentral:rRNA from 1 species
ACCAGACUCCUACGGGAGGCAGCAGUGAGGAAUAUUGGUCAAUGGGCGAGAGCCUGAACCAGCCAAGUCGCGUGAGGGAAGACGGUCCUACGGAUUGUAAACCUCUUUUGUCAGGGAGCAACGCCGGCUACGUGUAGCCGGACUGAGAGUACCUGAAGAAAAAGCAUCGGCUAACUCCGUGCCAGCAGCCGCGGUAAUACGGAGGAUGCGAGCGUUAUCCGGAUUUAUUGGGUUUAAAGGGUGCGUAGGCGGAAUGCCAAGUCAGCGGUAAAAUGGAGAGGCUCACCCUCUGCGAGCCGUUGAAACUGGUUUUCUUGAGUGAGUGAGAAGUAUGCGGAAUGCGUGGUGUAGCGGUGAAAUGCAUAGAUAUCACGCAGAACUCCGAUUGCGAAGGCAGCAUACCGGCGCUCAACUGACGCUCAUGCACGAAAGUGUGGGUAUCGAACAGGAUUAGAUACCCCCGUA